UGCCUCACACUCAAGACACCAAUUGUCAAGAAUUUUCCUGCCAACUGUCAUAUGUUAGUGAAUGUGUUUGGAGAAAGCAGCUGCGGUGGAGGGCGAGCAGCGCGGAGGGAGAGGCGCCACUUUUCAGCGGCUAAUCAAAUUGUCUUCUGGGCAUGAGGGGACAUGACGGAGGAAUCUGAACAGGCUCAGUUUAGAGACACAAUGUCACCACAACAGUGCAUAAAGCAGCGCGGCACACGAAGGAGAAGGAUUUCAGAAUAAAGAGUACAAACUGAAUGGAGCAGAUGAUUACGUGUUUUCAGACUAGAAGGAAGAUAAUCGUAAAGAGGUGUCUCUUCUUACGCGGAGUGCUAGUGGUGGCCAGUCCACCAGCCCGGGCUGUGUGACCCUACAUCCCGGCACUGAGGGCGGCCAGACGACCGGGAGAGGGGGACAAACUGUGAGUCUAAUAAUACAGAGAGAAAUAUCACCUCCGACUAGAGCUUUGAUCAACUGAGUGUACCGGGGCGAAUAAGGAGGGAGGGCGUGGGGUAGGGGGGUCGGGGUACCGGUCUGCUGCUCCGCUCUGCUGUUGGCAGCUUCUCUGCUCUACAAGAUUUUAAAAAGCAAUGAAUAAACAGACCCCGGGAUACAGAAUUCACAGUAAGGCUCAUUCUGACUCUGUUAAUAGCAGACUGGGUCUAUAUAUGGAUUUAUAUACCAGCUUAUACAAAAUUCAGCAACUGCAAUGCGGGGAAAUUUUUGGAGCAUUUGUGGAAAAAUGUGUAUAUCUAAAAAAAGACAGGACACAAAUGUUUUAGUUGUACAUGUGUAAUGUGUAAUUUAGCCUUAUUUAAGGGCAGGUUUUAUUUCGAUCCAAAAAUAACACACGCUGAUAUUUUAUUUUAAAUAA